GGCUCAGGAUGAACGCUAGCGGCAGGCCUAAUACAUGCAAGUCGAGGGGUAAAUAUGUAGCAAUAUAUAUGAGACCGGCGCACGGGUGCGUAACACGUAUGCAACCUACCUUUUACUGGGGCAUAGCUCAGAGAAAUCUGAAUUAAUUCCCCAUAACACUGCACUUCGGCAUCGGAGAGCAGUUAAAGCUCCGGCGGUAAAAGAUGGGCAUGCGGAACAUUAGCUAGUUGGUGAGGUAAUGGCUCACCAAGGCUACGAUGUUUAGGGGGUCUGAGAGGAUGAUCCCCCACACUGGUACUGAGACACGGACCAGACUCCUACGGGAGGCAGCAGUAGGGAAUAUUGGUCAAUGGACGCAAGUCUGAACCAGCCAUGCCGCGUGCAGGAUGAAUGUCCUAUGGAUUGUAAACUGCUUUUAUAUGGGAAGAAACCCCUGGAUGCGUCCGGGGCUGACGGUACCAUUUGAAUAAGGAUCGGCUAACUUCGUGCCAGCAGCCGCGGUAAGACGAAGGAUUCAAGCGUUGUCCGGAUUUACUGGGUUUAAAGGGUGCGUAGGCGGAAAGCUAAGUCAGUGGUGAAAGCCCGCAGCUCAACUGCGGAACUGCCAUUGAAACUGGCCUUCUUGAAUACAGUGGAGGUAGAUGGAAUAUAACAUGUAGCGGUGAAAUGCUUAGAUAUGUUAUAGAACACCGAUUGCGAAGGCAGUCUGCUACACUGUCAUUGACGCUGAGGCACGAAAGCGUGGGGAGCGAACAGGAUUAGAUACCCUGGUAGUCCACGCCCUAAACGUUGAUUACUCGCUGUUGGCGAUACACUGUCAGCGGCUAAGCGAAAGCGUUAAGUAAUCCACCUGGGAAGUACGUCCCGCAGGAUGAAACU
rnacentral:rRNA from 1 species